CCUACGGGAGGCAGCAGUGAGGAAUAUUGGUCAAUGGGCGCUAGCCUGAACCAGCCAAGUAGCGUGAAGGAUGACUGCCCUAUGGGUUGUAAACUUCUUUUAUAUGGGAAUAAAGUGCAGUAUGUAUACUGCUUUGCAUGUACCUUAUGAAUAAGGAUCGGCUAACUCCGUGCCAGCAGCCGCGGUAAUACGGAGGAUCCGAGCGUUAUCCGGAUUUAUUGGGUUUAAAGGGUGCGUAGGCGGGCUGUUAAGUCAGUUGUGAAAGUUUGCGGCUCAACCGUAAAAUUGCAGUUGAUACUGGCAGCCUUGAGUACAGUAGAGGUAGGCGGAAUUCGUGGUGUAGCGGUGAAAUGCUUAGAUAUCACGAAGAACUCCGAUUGCGAAGGCAGCCUGCUAGGCUGUAACUGACGCUGAUGCUCGAAAGUGUGGGUAUCAAACAGGAUUAGAUACCCGAGUAGUC
rnacentral:rRNA from 1 species